CAUCGCAAAGACAAGUUUCGGGGGACAGAAGUCUCUGUUCCGGCACGCCGCCGGGACGGGGAAUUGCCCCCGGAGUCAUCUCCAUCGACUCCAUCGCCAUCUUCAUCGCCGUUGCUGUCUCCCAUGAUGAGGAGGGAGUAGUUCUCCCCCGAGGCUGAGGGCUCUACCGGUAGCUAUGUGGUUCAUCUCUCUCUCCCAUGGUGUGAUCUUUAUGUGAUCAUGAGCUUUGUGAUCUAGUUGAAUAUGUAGAUGUUACUCUUGUCUAUUAUGCACUCUAGAGGUUACUUUAAUAUGAACUCCGGAGUUACUCUCCA